GGAGGAUGGGGGGUGCCACCCGGCGCACCCCCUGGGGCGGAGGAGCAGGGCGGCCCGGCCCCUUCUUCCCCGCCGCCGCCAGGGGGGGAGGCUCCGGGCAGGGAGGCCAGCUGAGGAAGGAAGCCUCCGGCUGCUGCAUGCGAGGCUGCGGGCACCCAGCACCCCACAGGGCUCCCCUGUGCCGUGGGGAGCCCGAAAGGAGACAUCCGUGGGGAAAGGGAAGCCCAUGACACGGAGAAAGGCAGCAAGGACUCUUGGCAGCCCCAUGAGCCAGCAUCCCCAUUUGAGACCCAGCUGUGCUGCCCGUGAUGGGAAGCCCACCCUUGCACAUGGGUGCCCCCAAGCAGUGCGUAAUGCACCCCGGGGGUGCCUGUGGGGUCGUACAGCAAGGGAACAUGGGGGGGAGACACCCGGCUGCCAGAAAAUGCCUGGAGGCUGCGAAAAGGACGUGCACAUUCCUGGAGGUGUAGGGAAUGACAGCACGGUGAUGUGGGGUGCGUCAUCUGGACUGGGCCUCUGCGUGCGGGACCUGCAGCAGGGAGCACCCUGCGGGACAGGGGAUCGGGGUGAGGUGGGCGACGUGGAAAGUCUCAUAUGUAAGGAACACAAACAGCAGAGCCCUGCUUCUCCACACAGAGACACACGUGCCUGCUCGCCGCAGCCUCGCUCCACAGUGAGGCCCAUCCACCUCACCUUGGCUCACCACAAAAGGGUUUUCGCAGCCCUGUAGGGCUAGACACCCUCGUGCCGCGGGUAUGGGCUGCCCAGAAUGUGCAAUGUGGUUCCGCAGGAAAGGAAUCGCCGCAAAUCUUUGUCCCGCAGGAGGAUCUCGGCACAGUGCUUUUUGUUCAGGACGGGCUUUUGUGAUCUCUCCUCUUGUCCCAGCGCUUGGUGGUCUCCCCAGCUCUUCCAUGGAAAAAACAAAACAAGAAAAUAAAAUGCCUUCUCUUCUGACAGUUGCUGUGGCAACCUGAAAUAGCCACGUAUCUGAGGGAAGUGAAACUUUUAGGAAGAGAGCUGUAAGACUAUACCCCCCCCCCCCCUUUCUGAAAGAUGUCAGCCUUGAGUUGCUUCUAACUAUUCGCAUGCUUGACUUCUGCUCAUUCCUACUGGUAUUUUUUGCCUUUGCUAUAGAAUGAGUUUUGCUGUUGUCAGCCUGCCCACGAAGUGUGUGCAACUCCCAGACCUCCGAGGCUCUCAGCACCUCACCAAAGCUCUGGCCUCAGCUUGAUUCCUCAGUUAAGAGGUCUUGCAGACCCACUUUUGCUGGGUUAUGGGUGAUGUGCAGUGUCCUGUAGGCUUGAGUCAUUAAACGUUUGGUUCCAUUUUUCUUUCAGUCUGACUGGUGGCACCCUUCCAACUUUAUUAAAAAGUUCUGAUCGCGCUAAACCCUA